UGUCACCCAGGCUGGUGUGCAGUAACACAGUUAUAGCUUACUGCAGCCUCAACCUACUGGGCUCAAAUGAUGCUUCUGCCUCAGCCUCCCAAGUAGCUGGGACUGCAGGGGCACACCACCAUGCCUGUCUAAUGUUUCAAAUUUGUUUUGUAAAGACAGGGUCUCACUAUGUUGCCCAGGCUGAUCUCUAACUCCUGGGCUCAAGAAAUCCUCCUUCCUUGACCUCCUAAAGUGCUGGGAUUACAGGUGUCAGCCACCAUGCCCACUAUAUAUUUUUUUUCUUUUAAUGUGAGUUACAGCAUUUGUUUCAUAACACAAAUGCAUCAUGAUUUUCAGCUUAUUAAAACACUGCCUUGAAGAUGGAUUCCAGCCUAGAAGCUGCACAGCCCUUUGCAUAAACACACCUAAAAGCAGCCUCCUUGCUGAGGGGUCCAAUAAGAGCCCUCCUGGUGAUGGUUUGGUGCACACACUACCCUAAAAAUAAACUAUUUUCCUGAUCCCUUUCCAGUCUUGUUGAUUAUACAGUAAAGUCUCCCUUUGAAACACACCACCUGGGGGCUGGGUGCAGUGGCUCACGCCUGUAAUACCAGUGUUUGGGGAGGCCCAGGUGGGUAGAUCACCUGAGGUCAGGAGUUUGAGACCAGCCUGGCCAAUAUGGGGAAACCUCAUCUCUACUAAAAACACAAAAUUAGCCGGGCAUGGUGGCAGGCGCCUGUAGUCAUAGCUACUAGGAAGGCUGAGGCGGGAGAAUCGCUUGAUCCUGAAAGGUGGAGUUGCAGGAGGUUGUGCCACUGCACUCCAGCCUGGGUGACAGAGCAAGACUCCAUCUCAAAAGAAAAAAGGGGGGGGUGCUGGGCGCGGUGGCUCAAGCCUGUAAUCCCAGCACUUUGGGAGGCCGAGGCGGGUGGAUCACGAGGUGAAGAGAUCGAGACCAUCCUGGUCAACGUGGUGAAACCCCGUCUCUACUAAAAAUACAAAAAAUUAGCUGGGCACUAUGGUGCGUGCCUAUAAUCCCAGCUACUCAGGAGGCUGAGGCAGGAGAAUUGCCUGAUCCCAGGAGGCGGAGGUUGCGGUGAGCCGAGAUCGCGCCAUUGCACUCCAGCCUGGGUAACAAGAGCGAAACUCCGUCUCAAAAAAAAAAUAAAUAAAUACCACCUGUGAGGCUAGCUUUCUAGAGCCUUCAGAUUGUGCCUGUCUCAUUAAUAAUGCUAUAGCAAAAGCAAGUUUCAGAAUUAGAAAUAACACAAAGAAAUGAAAUGAUUUGUACACAACAUUUACAAUUUAUAACAUUAGGAGAAAGAAUCGACAGUAUUAACUAAAGAUCUGAACCAAUUUUAAUGUGAUCAAUAAAAUUUCAUUCGCUGAUGAGCUGCUGUUCCCCUCAUCCUUCACCACUCACCAGUACGAUUGCCCCUCCAAAAAAAGAAUGGAAGAAAGGCACAAAAACCCUGCUAAGUAGGGUGCAACAUGCCUAGUUCCUAUGAAGCCUGCCGUUCAGAGAGCAAAGCCUCCCUGGUCAUUCCCUCUCUCUCCAGGUGGAGUAAGGCCAUGGUUCAGAGGAAACUGUAGCAGCCUCUCUGGGGGCAGUCACACCGUGAAGUCCCUUCCUGCUGGCGAUUCCCAGCCUGAAUCUGCUAUUCCAGUGGCUUGAUGGGAAGCAGGAACCACCGUGUAAACAUGUCCUUAAAAAAUAGGAGAGGCGACUAAAAGACAGCCAGGAAAGACAGACAUGGAGACAGUUAGUGCCGGAUUGCAAGAAUAAAUAUAUCUCAAAAUUUCAGUGUCUGAACCAAACGGAAGUUUGUUUCUCAUCCGCGUAACCAAGGCAAACGCUCCUGACUGGCAGGUCGCUCCGUCCAGGCAGUAAAUGUGCAGCCCAGGUUCCCUGCAUCUUGUGGCUCCAAUCACUUUGGAUCUCAUCAUUGCUGCAUAUUGCCAUACAUAGCGAAGGAGAGAAGAUGGAGAAGGCAAAGACUUUCUAAAAGACCUGGCUAAAUCUGGCAUUCAUCACAUCAUCUCGCAUUCCAUGGUUGAUAUCCUAGAGCCGUGUGAAAAUAAUAAAUGGAGAUAUUUUGUGGCAGUCAUCUCGGGGGAAAUGCUGCAGCGACAAGCCCCACCGGCAAGUAUUCUCAAAGCCAGCCGGAGAUGGGUCCGCUGCAAAGAUUCCCACAAUCUUCUGGUGUUUUGUCACAUGACCACAGUUUUAGGACCUAUGGAUUCAACCAUGGAGAAAACAUGAUAAUGCAAAACGCACAACUGCAAAGUGAAACGAUCCUUUUAACAAGAGAAAAAUCAAAUUAAAUUUGGCCUGCUUAUAAACAUGUCCCCAUGUGCUCUUCUUUUACCGUGGGCUUUCAGAUAGCCUAAUUUUAAACCAGCACGUGUGAUGAACAGCACAGGUAAUGAGUGUCUCAGGGAAUCAGCUGCUCUGUGCAGUUGGACAAGGAGGCAGGAACCUAGCAGCAGGAGAAUGGGGAAAUGUAGAGUUGCUGAAGAGGAAUAGCAGAAAUGAGGGAUUUUAAACUUCUCUCUCUAUUUAGUCCUUGUUUGCUUAUAGCUGACACCUCUGGGAAAACAUAUUCUCUCUUUCUCUGGGACAACACCUGAUAUAAUCUGGCUCUGUGUCGCCACCCAAAUCUCUUCUUGGAUUGUAAUCCAAAUUGUAAUCCCCUCAUGUUGGGGGAGGGACCUUACGGGAGGUGGCUGGAUCAUGGUGGCUGUUCCCCCCAUGAUGUUCUUGUGAUAGCGAGUGAGUUCUCAAGAGAUCUGGUGGUUUUAUAAGGGGCUCUUCCUCCUUCAUUUUGCACAUCUGUCUCCUGCUGCCUUGUGAAGAACGACACGUUUGCUUUCCCUUCCACCACGAUUGUAAAUUUCCUGAGUCCUCCCCAGCCACGGAGAACUGUGAGUCAAUUAAACCUCUUUCCUUUAUAAAGAACCCAGUCUCAGGCAUUUCUUUUUAGCAGCAUGAAAAUGGACUAAUACAACACCCAUCUCUCACUGUUAUGUUUUCACAAUGGAAGUUUUAGUCCAGGGAUGUCUAAUCUUGUGGCUUCCCUGGGCCACACUGGAAAAAGAAUUGUCUUGAGCCACGCAUAAAAUACAGUAACACUAGUGAUAGCAUAAGUUAAAAAAAAUCACAGAUAAAUCUUAUAAUGUUUUUAGAAAGUUUA